CCUACGGGCGGCAGCAGUGAGGAAUAUUGGUCAAUGGACGCAAGUCUGAACCAGCCAUGCAGCGUGCAGGAUGACUGCUCUAUGGGUUGUAAACUUCUUUUAUAAGGGAAUAAAGGCAGAUACGCGUAUCUGUCUGAAAGUACUGUAUGAAUAAGGAUCGGCUAACUCCGUGCCAGCAGCCGCGGUAAUACGGAGGAUUCGAGCGUUAUCCGGAUUUAUUGGGUUUAAAGGGUGCGUAGGCGGUCGGUUAAGUUAGAUGUGAAAGUCUGCGGCUCAACCGUAAAAUUGCAAUUGAUACUGGCCGGCUUGAGUGCAGUUGAGGUAGGCGGAAUGUGUGGUGUAGCGGUGAAAUGCUUAGAGAUCACGAAGAACUCCGAUUGCGAAGGCAGCUUACUAAGCUGCCUCUGACGUUGAUGCACGAAAGUGUGGGUAUCAAACAGGAUUAGAUACCCGUGUAGUC
rnacentral:rRNA from 1 species